UUACUUGUGCCUGAUAAAUAGGACUAUUUUGAUAGAAUAGAAAAUGUAAUAAAUUACCAAGUAAU
rnacentral:tRNA from 1 species